ensembl:lncRNA
GCUGCUCUGUACCAUCACUCAUUCAUAUAUCCUUAUGUACAUAUUCUUUAUCCCCUUACACUGUGUAUAAGACAGUAGUUUUUUUUGGAAUUGUUAGUUAGAUUACUUGUUCGUUAUUACUGCAUUGUCGGAACUAGAAGCACAAGCAUUUCGCUACACUCGCAUUAACAUCUGCUAACCAUGUGUAUGUGACAAAUAAAAUUUGAUUUGAUUUGAUGUGGUCCAAUGAAUACAGGCUGUUUAAACAGGCAGUCAGUUCUGAUCUUUUGACACUAAUUGGUAUUUUUUGUAUUUUUAUUUUGACCAGUCAGAUCAGAUCCUUUGCCAAUAAAAAGUCAAAAGAUCAGAAUUGGGCUGCCUGUGUAAACUCAGACAUACAGUCAUAUAUACAGUCAUAUGUACAGAUUAUUAGGUAUAUCCAUCUAGUACCAGGUCAGACCCCCCUUUGCUGCCAGAACAGCCUAACUUCUUUGGGGUGUGGAAUCGUUGCUAACGUGUGAGACAGGAAGACAUUCCCCCCACCAUUACAUCCCCGCCCCCAGUCUGUACUGUUGACACCAGGCAGGAUGGGGCCAUGGAUCCCCACACCAUUACACCCCCAGUCUGUACCGUUGACACCAGGCAGGAUGGGGCCAUGGAUCCCCCCCACCAUUACACCCCCAGUCUGUACCGUUGACACCAGGCAGGAUGGGGCCAUGGAUCCCCCCACCAUUACACCCCCAGUCUGUACCGUUGACACCAGGCAGGAUGGGGCCAUGGACUUGGACGCUGCUUACGCCAAACCCUGACUCUGCCAUCAGCGUGAUGCAACAGGAACCUGUAUUCCUUGGACCAGGCAAUGUCUUCCACUCCUCAGAGUUGGUGACGGCCUGCCCACUGGGGACACUUCUUCUUCUUCUGUAUAGCUGAUGGGAGUGGAACCCGCUGUGGUCGUCUGCUGUAAAAGCCCAUCAGUAACAAGGAGGGGCGAGUUGUGUUUUCCCCAGAUGUCGUUCUGAACACCACUGUUGUACUGCUCCGUUAUUUGCCUGUUUGUGGGCCGCCUGGUAGCUUGUGCGAGUCUUCCGUUUUCCACCCACAGGAGUGCGGCUGACUGGAUGCUGUUUGUGGGCCGUCUGGUAGCUUGUGCGAGUCUUCCGUUUUCCACCCACAGGAGUGCGGCUGACUGGAUGCUGUUUGUGGGCCGCCUGGUAGCUUGCGCGAGUCUUCCGUUUUCCACCCACAGGAGUGCGGCUGACUGGAUGCUGUUUGUUUGUCUUAUCAUUCUCGGUAAACCCUAGACACUGUCGUGUGUGAAAAGCCCAGGAGGGAGGACGUUUCUGAGACACUGUAUCCGGUGUACCUGGCACCAACGAUCAAACCACGCUCAGAGUCUCUUAGGUCACUAGUUUUGUCCAGUGUAACGUUCAAUGGAACAGUAACUGAAUGCCUCGAUGCCUGUCUGCCUGUUUUAUAUAGCAAGCCCUGGACAGGUGGCUCACUGUCUGUAGGAGCUGACCAUGUCGUUGUACCUAACACUGUCUGUAGGAGCUGACCAUGUCGUUGUACCCAACACUGUCUGUAGGAGCUGACCAUGUCGUUGUACCUAACACUGUCUGUAGGAGCUGACCAUGUCGUUGUACGCAACACUGUCUGUAGGAGCUGACUAUGUCGGCGUACGAGGUGGUGUACCUAACACUGUCUGUAGGAGCUGACCAUGUCGGUGUACCUAACACUGUCUGUAGGAGCUGACCAUGUUGGUGUACCUAACACUGUCUGU